AUAUCACUACUUUUUAUAGGAUUUUUAUUUUCAGCUGUUAAAAAUUAUUGAUUUUGAAUCCUUUCGAUUGUUAGGUAAAUGAUAUCGAAAAAUCGUAAAAAUUAUUUUCUAGAAACUUCAAAUACGCUAGAUCAAGUCUAACGGAGCCGAUCGUCGAUUCGAAAAUUCCAUCAUCGAAAACGGCUCAGGAGCACGGAAGCCUUCGUGCUCCUGAGAGCACUGCAGUCUUGCUCUAUAUAUAUAUAUAUAUAUAUAUAUGGGGCAAUUUCAUAGAUACCCUUUCCAAAGUCUAAAAUAUCAUGGAUGCUCCUAUAAAAUUUAAAAUAUCACAUAUACGCUUGUAAACACGGAAAAUUAUCAUCCAUAUCCCUACCGUCGAAUUCGUUUUCGGAUUCAGAUUUCAGAUUUGAUUGUUGGGUACAGACUCAGAUUUUUAAAAAUUCGCUCCGAAUCCGAACCGUUGACAUAGUCUAUUUCAGAUAAUGCUCUAU
rnacentral:lncRNA from 1 species